rnacentral:rRNA from 1 species
AUUGAACGCUGGCGGCAGGCCUAACACAUGCAAGUCGAGCGGAUGAAGGGAGCUUGCUCCUGGAUUCAGCGGCGGACGGGUGAGUAAUGCCUAGGAAUCUGCCUGGUAGUGGGGGAUAACGUCCGGAAACGGGCGCUAAUACCGCAUACGUCCUGAGGGAGAAAGUGGGGGAUCUUCGGACCUCACGCUAUCAGAUGAUCCUAGGUCGGAUUAGCUAGUUGGUGGGGUAAAGGCCUACCAAGGCGACGAUCCGUAACUGGUCUGAGAGGAUGAUCAGUCACACUGGAACUGAGACACGGUCCAGACUCCUACGGGAGGCAGCAGUGGGGAAUAUUGGAAAAUGGGCGAAAGCCUGAUCCAGCCAUGCCGCGUGUGUGAAGAAGGUAUUCGGAUUGUAAAGCACUUUGAGUUGGGAGGAAGGGCAGUAAGUUAAUAACUUGCUGUUUUGACGUUACCAACAGAAUAAGCACCGGCUAACUUCGUG